AGCGUGGCCCUGUUCUGCCAGGCGCUGCAGAGACCCCAGGCUACAGACUAACGUCCACGUUUGAUCCAGAUCAUCCCAUCCUCCCAGGGGGCAGGAAAUGGCUGCAGUGGAGCUGGCUCAGGGGCCAGUGACCUUCAAGGAGGUGGCU